rnacentral:rRNA from 1 species
GACGAACGCUGGCGGCGUGCUUAACACAUGCAAGUCGAACGGAGUGGCGAACGGGUGUGUAACACGUGGGUGAUAUUCCUUGCACUACGGGGUAAGCUUGGGAAACUGGGUCUCAUACCGGAAAGUGCAAGAUGUGCUGGCGGCCUCUCAGCUUGUUGGUGGGGUAAUGGCCUACCAAGGAGUGGACGGGUAGCCGGCCUGAGAGGGUGUACGGCCACAGUGGGACUGAGAUACGGCCCAGACUCCUACGGGAGGCAGCAGUGGGGAAUAGUGCACAAUGGGCGGAAGCCUGAUGCAGCGACGCCGCGUGGGGGAUGAAGGCCUUCGGGUUGUAAACGCCUUUCGACAGGGACGCGGUACCUGUAUAAGAAGCACCGGCUAACUACGUGCCAGCAGCCGCGGUAAUAC